ensembl:lncRNA
AGAACAAGGGAGAAAGAGCAGUUGGGGAGCUUCAUGCAGGCUUCCUCCAUCAGCUGCUCUUAAUGAUAAAGCAAUGAGUUGGAUUUAACCACUUCCUGCCACCUACUGCCUUUUUGCCGAUGAUGUCUCUUCAGGGAAUAGAUCUUAAAGCAGAAUUUAUGGGCCAGCUGAGCCUGCAGAAGAGGUUUCCACGCCUGGCUUCCUGCCCCCAUGGUCCUGAUGCAGGAGAAAGCAGCAGCUCAGAUCCAGAGUUUAUCGGGUGGAGGAGGAGAGAGCUUGUGUCCUGUCCCCCUGGGGCUCUUCCCUGCCCUCUGUGUUUGCUUCAGCCGCCCCCCUGGAGCAUCUGGCACCAGCAUCGUGCACAGGCACUGCUCAGGGUCCAAGUGUGGCCUCGUGACAUAGAUCAUCAGGAUUUCAGAUGAUUUGAGAAGAAUGUCCCCUGCCCCCAACUCAGACCACCCCUAGACUAGAAUUUCACAGGAACAUCAUCCUUUCUUUGGCAAAGCAUUCUUCAUCUUAUAAAUGGCAGAUUCUCCUGAGGAUGGAAAAGCACCAAGCCUCCCUUCUAAUGUGAAUCUUCAUGGUCAAAGGUGGAUUCUUUACUACUGGCACCCCCUGGGAAGCCAGGAAUUCAUUGGGGGUUUUAAAUACCUGCUAAGUCACUUCAGUCGUGUCCGACUCUGUGUGACCCCAUAGAUGGCAGCCCACCAGGCUCCCCCUGUCCCCAGGAUUCUCCAGAAAUAAGGAAAGGACCAGAAGAGUCAAGACACUUGCCCAGGAUAAAGCCGUUGGUUGGCCACGGAGCUGAUCUGAUACCCUGAGACACUUGGCCAAAACUCUGCAGAUUCUUUUUUUCAAUUUUGUCCUGUUAACAUUGCCAUGGGAAAGCUAAUGGAUAUACAAUCCCCUUACAAGAUACACGGAUUUUCUCACAUUUACGUGUCCGGGAAAAUUUCAGAGCUGGAACUCAGCUCUUCUCUGGUCCCCUGUCUUACUUCUUCAAACGCUUAAUUCAGGGUGAGGUUUGCUGUAGAAUUUGUUCAGCUGAUGGAUUUCCAAUUCGAAAAGUUUCUGCUGCUUUGUCACUGUCCUAGCAAAUGGGGGGAUGCUUGUGGGAAAGAAGUUGGAGUCCUGGCUGGUUAGAGGCAUGCAUCCUUAUCACUUGUGUCUUAGAGCUGGAGGCUAAUGUUUUCCCUGGUCUCUAGACUAAAGUAUGGGACC